rnacentral:rRNA from 1 species
GACGAACGCUGGCGGCGUGCUUAACACAUGCAAGUCGAACGGAAAGGCCCUGCUUUUGUGGGGUGCUCGAGUGGCGAACGGGUGAGUAACACGUGAGUAACCUGCCCUUGACUUUGGGAUAACUUCAGGAAACUGGGGCUAAUACCGGAUAGGAGCUCCUGCUGCAUGGUGGGGGUUGGAAAGUUUCGGCGGUUGGGGAUGGACUCGCGGCUUAUCAGCUUGUUGGUGGGGUAGUGGCUUACCAAGGCUUUGACGGGUAGCCGGCCUGAGCGGGUGACCGGCCACAUUGGGCCUGGGAUACGGCCCAGACUCCUACGGGAGGCAGCAGUGGGGAAUAUUGCACAAUGGGCGGAAGCCUGAUGCAGCAACGCCGCGUGCGGGAUGACGGCCUUCGGGUUGUAAACCGCUUUCGCCUGUGACGAAGCGUGAGUGACGGUAAUGGGUAAAGAAGCACCGGCUAACUACGUG